AUUGAACGCUGGCGGCAUGCUUUACACAUGCAAGUCGAACGGUAACAGGCCGCAAGGUGCUGACGAGUGGCGAACGGGUGAGUAAUGCAUCGGAACGUGCCCAGUCGUGGGGGAUAACUACUCGAAAGAGUAGCUAAUACCGCAUACGAUCUAUGGAUGAAAGCGGGGGACCGUAAGGCCUCGCGCGAUUGGAGCGGCCGAUGUCAGAUUAGGUAGUUGGUGGGGUAAAGGCUCACCAAGGCAACGAUCUGUAGCUGGUCUGAGAGGGCGGCCAGCCACAAUGGAGACUGGAACCGGGCCCAACUCCUAAGGGGGGGAGGCAGUGGGAAUUUUUGGAAAUGGGGCGAAGCCCGACGCCGGAAAGGCGCGGGGGAGGAAAAAGGCUUUGGGGUGUAAAACUGUUUUUUUAGGGAAGAAAAGGGGUGUGGGUAAUCCCCGGGGUUAAGGCGGGUACCGAAAAAAAAAGCACCGGCAAACUAGGG
rnacentral:rRNA from 1 species